GACGAACGCUGGCGGCGUGCUUAACACAUGCAAGUCGAACGGAAAGGCGCUGCUCUUGUGGGGUGCUCGAGUGGCGAACGGGUGAGUAACACGUGAGUAACCUGCCCUUGACUUUGGGAUAUCUCUAGGAAACUGGGGCUAAUACCGGAUAGGAGCUCCUGCUGCAUGGUGGGGGUUGGAAAGUUUCGGCGGUUGGGGAUGGACUCGCGGCUUAUCAGCUGGUUGGUGGGGUAGUGGCUUACCAAGGCUUUGACGGGUAGCCGGCCUGAGCGGGUGACCGGCCACAUUGGGGCUACGGUACGGCCCAGAAUCCUACGGGGGGCAGCAGUGGGGAGUAUUGCACAGCGGGCGGAGGCCUGAUGCAGCAACGCCGCGUGCGGGAUGACGGCCUUCGGGUUGUAAACCGCUUUCGCCUGUGACGAAGCGUGAGUGACGGUAAUGGGUCAAGAAGCACCGGCUAACUACGUG
rnacentral:rRNA from 1 species